CCAAUUGAUUGAUGGUGCUUGCACCUGAUUGAUUUUGGUUGCCAACGAGUGGCGGACGGGUGAGUAACACGUAGGUAACCUGCCCAGAAGCGGGGGACAACAUUUGGAAACAGAUGCUAAUACCGCAUAACAGCGUUGUUCGCAUGAACAACGCUUAAAAGAUGGCUUCUCGCUAUCACUUCUGGAUGGACCUGCGGUGCAUUAGCUUGUUGGUGGGGUAACGGCCUACCAAGGCGAUGAUGCAUAGCCGAGUUGAGAGACUGAUCGGCCACAAUGGGACUGAGACACGGCCCAUACUCCUACGGGAGGCAGCAGUAGGGAAUCUUCCACAAUGGGCGCAAGCCUGAUGGAGCAACACCGCGUGAGUGAAGAAGGGUUUCGGCUCGUAAAGCUCUGUUGUUAAAGAAGAACACGUAUGAGAGUAACUGUUCAUACGUUGACGGUAUUUAACCAGAAAGUCACGGCUAACUACGUGCCAGCAGCCGCGGUAAUACGUAGGUGGCAAGCGUUAUCCGGAUUUAUUGGGCGUAAAGAGAGUGCAGGCGGUUUUCUAAGUCUGAUGUGAAAGCCUUCGGCUUAACCGGAGAAGUGCAUCGGAAACUGGAUAACUUGAGUGCAGAAGAGGGUAGUGGAACUCCAUGUGUAGCGGUGGAAUGCGUAGAUAUAUGGAAGAACACCAGUGGCGAAGGCGGCUACCUGGUCUGCAACUGACGCUGAGACUCGAAAGCAUGGGUAGCGAACAGGAUUAGAUACCCUGGUAGUCCAUGCCGUAAACGAUGAGUGCUAGGUGUUGGAGGGUUUCCGCCCUUCAGUGCC
rnacentral:rRNA from 1 species